GAUGAAGAACGUAGCGAAAUGCGAUAAGUAAUGUGAAUUGCAGAAUUCAGUGAAUCAUCGAAUCUUUGAACGCACAUUGCGCCCGCCAGUAUUCUGGCGGGCAUGCCUGUUCGAGCGUCAUUACAACCCUCAGGCCCCCGGGCCUGGCGUUGGGGAUCGGCGGAGCCCCCCGUGGGCACACGCCGUCCCCCAAAUGCAGUGGCGGUCCCGCCGCAGCUUCCAUCGCGUAGUAGCUAACACCUCGCGACUGGAGAGCGGCGCGGCCACGCCGUAAAACACCCAACUCUUCUGAAGUUGACCUCGAAUCAGGUAGGAAUACCCGCUGAACUUAAGCAUAUCAAUAAGCGGAG
rnacentral:misc_RNA from 1 species